CUCAGAUUGAACGCUGGCGGCAGGCCUAACACAUGCAAGUCGAGCGGUAACAGAGAGUAGCUUGCUACUUUGCUGACGAGCGGCGGACGGGUGAGUAAUGCUUGGGAACAUGCCUUGAGGUGGGGGACAACAGUUGGAAACGACUGCUAAUACCGCAUAAUGUCUACGGACCAAAGGGGGCUUCGGCUCUCGCCUUUAGAUUGGCCCAAGUGGGAUUAGCUAGUUGGUGAGGUAAUGGCUCACCAAGGCGACGAUCCCUAGCUGGUUUGAGAGGAUGAUCAGCCACACUGGGACUGAGACACGGCCCAGACUCCGUACGGGAGGCAGCAGUGGGGAAUAUUGCACAAUGGGCGCAAGCCUGAUGCAGCCAUGCCGCGUGUGUGAACGAAGGCCUUCGGGUUGUAAACGUCACUUUCAGCGAGAGGAAAGCUUAAGCGUUAAUAGCGUUUAGGUGUGACGUUACUCGCAGAACGAAGACCGG
rnacentral:rRNA from 1 species